rnacentral:rRNA from 1 species
UAGAGUUUGAUCAUGGCUCAGGAUGAACGCUGGCGGCGUGCUUAACACAUGCAAGUCGAACGAAGCGCUUGAGAACAAUUCUUCGGAGGCGUUCUCUUGUGACUGAGUGGCGGACGGGUGAGUAACGCGUGGGUAACCUGCCCUAUACAGGGGGAUAACAGUUAGAAAUGACUGCUAAUACCGCAUAAGCGCACAGGACCGCAUGGUUCGGUGUGAAAAACUGAGGUGGUAUAGGAUGGACCCGCGUCUGAUUAGCUUGUUGGUGGGGUAACGGCUCACCAAGGCGACGAUCAGUAGCCGGCCUGAGAGGGCGACCGGCCACAUUGGGACUGAGACACGGCCCAAACUCCUACGGGAGGCAGCAGUGGGGAAUAUUGCACAAUGGGGGAAACCCUGAUGCAGCGACGCCGCGUGAGUGAAGAAGUAUUUCGGUAUGUAAAGCUCUAUCAGCAGGGAAGAAAAUGACGGUACCUGACUAAGAAGCCCCGGCUAACUACGUGCCAGCAGCCGCGGUAAUACGUAGGGGGCAAGCGUUAUCCGGAUUUACUGGGUGUAAAGGGAGCGUAGGUGGCAUGGUAAGCCAGAAGUGAAAACCCGGGGCUCAACCCCGCGGAUUGCUUUUGGAACUAUCAGGCUGGAGUGCUGGAGGGGUAAGCGGAAUUCCUAGUGUAGCGGUGAAAUGCGUAGAUAUUAGGAGGAACACCGGUGGCGAAGGCGGCUUACUGGACAGAAACUGACACUGAGGCUCGAAAGCGUGGGGAGCAAACAGGAUUAGAUACCCUGGUAGUCCACGCCGUAAA